UCCAGGUAUAUAUAUAUAUAUUUGGGGCGACAGUCUACUAGAAGGACGUCAAGAGAGCUCAAAUCUCCUAAAUCAGGUUGCAAUUCUUCUCUGCUAAUUCGCCAUGAAGACGAUCGCGGUCGCCCUCUUCCUCCUAUCGGCGAUCUUCGCCGUGAUGGCUGUGGCUCGCGCCAUGCCGGAACCAGACCCCAACAGACGGUUCUUCUUCGGCGGAAGUCCCUACGGCUUCGGUGGCUACGGCUACAGGCCGUUCGGAUACGGCUUCGGAUACGGAGGAUACGGUGGCCUUGGAUUCGGUGGGUAUGGUGGCUACAGCGGCUUCUUUGGCUGAGGAAGUGCUGGGCACAGAGACCCAUUUUCUGCUCCUUGGCGAAACUCUGUUGUUCUUUCAGGAAACUACUAAAUCAAAGUGGAGUGAUUUUGUUGUAUAUCCAAUAAAUUGCCUUUUUAA